rnacentral:misc_RNA from 1 species
UACUAUGCGUGUACGCAUUUUGGUCGGUGAUCCAAUUUCUCUCGUGCGGUUCUUCCUCGAUGGGCUCAAUUGGGUUAAAUGAUAGGGAGCGGCGACACUUCUGCUCAUGGCGUUCAGCGGCGACACUUCUGCUCAUGGCGUUCAAAUCCUCAACAUUCAGGCCAAGCCCUAAAACCUUUGGUUUUCGGUUUGAGCCUUUGACCCAUUGUUGGUUCAAGUAUUGAGGCAAGUUAUUAGGGCUUUUUUUAGCAGUAUUGGUUUUCUUGAUUUAGUUGCAAGUGAGGGUUAGCUAGCUGGGUUCUUGGUCAGGGGAAAUUAUAGUGUAAUCAUGUUAUAUCAGAUUAUAGACAUGAUUCAGUGUAUCAGAUCAAAUAAAUAAUAAUAAGUCAACCAUAAGAAGUUAAGUUAAAAAUUUAUCAUAAAAAUAAAAUAAUAUUUUG